GAUGAAUGCUGGCGGCGUGCCUAACACAUGCAAGUCGAGCGGCAGCGAGGGGUGCUUGCACCCUGUCGGCGAGCGGCGAACGGCUGAGUAACGCGUAGGAAUUUGCCCCAAAGUGAGGAAUAACUGCCCGAAAGGGUAGCUAAUGCCGCAUAUGGUCUUCGGAUUAAAGGAUUUAUCCGCUUUGGGAGAAGCCUGCGUUGGAUUAGGUUGUUGGUAGGGUAAUGGCCUACCAAGCCGACGAUCCAUAGCUGGCCUGAGAGGAUGAUCAGCCAGGCUGGAACUGAGACACGGUCCAGACUCCUACGGGAGGCAGCAGUGAGGAAUCUUCCACAAUGGGCGAAAGCCUGAUGGAGCAACGCCGCGUGGAGGAUGAAGGCCUUCGGGUUGUAAACUUCUUUUAUGAGUGAAGAAUAUGACGGUAACUCAUGAAUAAGCACCGGCUAACUACGUG
rnacentral:rRNA from 1 species